ensembl:lncRNA
GGGGGAUGGAAAAAGAUAUUUGGCUUUUACACCCGCCAAACACGCUUCUGUGUCCAUAACAUUUUGUUCCAGCACUAUCUCUGGCAAACAGGUGGUCUUGUUUGCACAAGCAAGUAAUUAGCAGAGGCGGGGUUAUUAGGUGAGUAUUUUUGGCAAGAUGUUUUUCUCUGAGUAUGUUUUGCUCUUAAGUUAACUAGGCACCUGGCAGCAAUUACAGCCAAAGCCAGGCAACCCACCUAGGCUACCCAGGUUAAUGAAAAAACCAUAACCGCACUGCUUUGAAGGGUGUGUAACAGAGGGCAAUCUUCAUGAAGAGGGAGAACUGAACUGAUAGGAUGAAAGGUGUUAACUGUGGGAGCAGCUACUACAGACUCUUCCUCCUUCUCCCUUCAAGAUCAGCGACGGUGACCAUUGUUCAGAGCCUACAUAAAGCCUUUCAACAAUACAACAUACUACAGUCAUUUUAAAAGAAAUCGUGGAGCAUAGGUGCUCCUCUGUCAGGAACUUCCGGGAGUCAAUUGCUGCAUUAACUGCAUUUGAUAGUAUGCAAAUCCCACCAUGGAUAUAUACGCAAUUACAAUUCCUAUGAGGUUAAUGAAGAAGCUGAAGAGACACUGGUUUUAAAUUGGAACAGGAAUGAAGGUAAAUAGCAAAGAUGUCACAGAAAGGAAAGAGCAUGCCAGGCCACCCCAUCACUGAGCAGGGUAUCACAGUGCAGAGACAAGUCCCGACACCAGAUCCCAGCGCUCUCUGCCAGCUGUCUGCCUGCAGGCAUCCUCCUGCCAGGAGCCAGAGUCAACCUGCCUGCCCUGCCCCACUGCUCCUGUGGCCCGGAAAAGAGGGAGGGUCAGCCCAGAGACAUUGCCUUCAAACACUAAGACUGUGAUGACUCGCACAGCUCCACCUGCCCUCAUAGGCGAGAAAAGCAUGCUCAACACAGGAUGCCUAAUGUGAGGCAUCCAUUUCUAAUCCGAACACUGUGCUUUACACUAGAAUUAGGCUUCUGAACAUCUAGUUCUAGAUGUAAGUACAAACUGAA